UACAGAGGAGGCAAGCGUUAUUCGGAAUCACUGGGCUUAAAGCGCGUGUAGGCGGCUGGGCAAGCGUCCCGUGAAAACCCACUGCUCAACGGUGGCACUGCGAGGCGAACUGCCCGACUUGAGGCUGGUAGAGGUGUACGGAAUUCGAGGUGGAGCGGUGAAAUGCGUAGAUAUCUAGAGGAACGCCGGAGGCGAGAGCGGGGCACUGGGCCAAUUCUGACGCUGAGACGCGAAAGCGUGGGGAGCAAAUAGG
rnacentral:rRNA from 1 species